CACAAAGUGACCAGUCCUGUAAGUAUAAAUAGCCCAGCUAGAAAUCAACUCACCAUUCACUUGUUUGCCCUAGCAGUGUAAGAAUCCGCCCACCAAUCACCAUGAACAAGUCUCUGAUGCUCGUGUUGAUCCCCUGCCUGGUGGCUUACGUUAUGGCCCAGUAUUACCAGCCUGGAUACGGUGGUAUGGCUGGAUACGGUGGUGGGUACGGGGCUGGAACCUACUACAACUACGCCGCGCAGAGCGCCCAAGGAGCCAAGACAAGCAACUUGUUGAACUAUGGCCUUCUCUUCUUCGCCAUCCUCAUCCUGACCAACGCUACCGGAAGUAUCACUGGUUAGACGUAGCCUCCCGAUACUGACAUGCUCCCCUCCCCGUACAAGUGAUCAAAUGAAUUCCACAGACUUCCUGAUACUGUCAUAUUGCGUGAAUCAUAAUAUGUUGCUGAGAAUAAAACUUAAUUUAUUAUGUAAA